GGUGGCGUUAGCUCAUGCAUUGGCACUAUUUGCGGCAGUUUCGGCGGCCAUCAAUGUCUCUGGUGGUCACGUGAACCCUGCGGUUACUUUUGCUGCUCUAAUCGGUGGCAGGCUCUCAGUGAUCCGAGCUAUCUACUAUUGGGUUGCUCAGCUUCUAGGUGCUAUCCUCGCUUGUCUCUUGUUGAGGCUUUCCACUAAUGGCAAGGUAUAUCAUUUCUCAUCGAAUUUUGAAAAUAUAUGCUCCUGAGUCCUGACUGUGACUGUGAUGCAGAGACCAAUAGGGUUCCAUGUAGCGUCUGGAGUCAGUGAGCUUCACGGGCUAUUGAUGGAGAUCAUACUUACAUUCGCAUUGGUUUAUAUCUUCUACUCAACUGUAACCGAUCCCAAGAGAGGGAGUAUUGGGAUCAUAGCCCCCCUAGCCAUCGGGCUCAUAGUUGGGGCAAACAUGUUGGUAGGAGGACCAUUCGACGGAGCGUCAAUGAAUCCGGCUAGAGCCUUCGGUCCAUCAUUGGUUGGAUGGAGAUGGGAAAACCAUUGGAUAUAUUGGGUUGGGCCCUUCAUUGGAGGUGCACUCGCCGCACUUAUCUAUGAGUACAUGAUCAUCCCCAACGUGAACGAGCCUCCUCGCCAUAGUGUCCACCAACCAUUGGCCCCGGAAGAUUACUAGACCGUACCAAGCUACAUGUCGAAGGUUCUCUCUUUGUAUCAAGAAUCUCUGUUUUGCUUGUGUUGUUGUUUGUAUAUUUGUUUUUUUUUUCUUGCAUGCAACUUUAUAUGUAUAAUUGAGUCCAGACCAGGACAGUAUCUGUGUGUUCUUGUAUCAUAUGUAACUAUUUGAUAAUAAAAAAAUUCGGUAUUUCAUUAAAAAUGGUCAAUUAUGGGAUCAAGACGGAGACAACGAUGGCUUUUCUCUCAGAGUACUGUACACGUAACAGUGCCGGUCGGUUUCUAUAAAUCAGUUUAUGUAUCUGAAACCUGCGAAGGUUUCUUUCUUCUCAUGUUAAGAAGGUCCUCUCAUCUUGUCAACUAUCUGUCUACUCUUUUCCUCCAUGUGACGCCUCUUCUCAUCCAACUUCUCCCCCAUUUUCUUCCCAAGACUCAGCAUCCUUGCUCUCCUUCCCAGUUUCUUUCCCUUUGAAUCAUCGUCUUCGCUUGAAACUACUGACCAAGAUGGUGAUGACUGAACAAAAGUGCUGCCUCUUGAGUUCGUCUCCUGCUUUUCGCUGCUGCUGGGUAGCAGCAAUGGGGUUUUCAGUUCUUCCAGAGAUUUGUCACUCUCUACUGUUUCAGGUCUGGAGGAACUUGACACUGCGGUAGACAUAACCUCUGCUUCUGUAUUCGGUUUCUGGACGGCAUUGGCAGCUUCAUGCACUUGAUCAGACUGAGCACAGGAGGAAGAAGACACAGUCUCCGCUUCAGAAAUAACCGGCUUCGUAGAUGGCUUGUCAGAUUUAGACUUCCCCUCUGUUGCCUGGUGAUCGCUUUCUUGAUUCAGCCACAUGAAUGGAGCGGCUUUGCGUUGAACCCAAUCGUCUUUUUCAGCAAUCAUCCACGGAACCGUUAGGCUUUCACAGUUUGGAAGAACCACUGCUUCUCUUAUUGCCGUCUGCAAGAAUCAUAAUGUUAUCUCACAUUCUGUUAGCUCAAAUUUCACUAGAUACCAAACAAAAGAGAACCCAAAGGAGAAGGUGUGCCUACCUUAAACCGGUUGAUCAAGAACAUAGCAACAUGGCUGUUGGUGAUUUUGUGUUCCCCAACAGAAGAUGCGAGAUCGAAUUGUACAUCGGGCAUGCUCGUGAAUCCAAACCAUAGUUGAUCAGAAGGAGGCGGCUUCAUGUGUACACGCAGUGUCCCUCUAAGAGAAGAAAUCCGUAUUGACAAAGAGAUUGGUACCUGCAAUUGAGAAACAGAUAAAAUCUAAGAUCCCACACUGAGGAAAAGUUACAAAAAAUCCAACAAAACAGAACAAAAAAUCAUCUUGUAGAUAUUUAAAAAAAAAAAAAAAAGAGAAGAGGAGAACCAACCUGGGAAACUUGCUCAGCAAUAUUUUUUAGAAUAGACUUCCACCUGGAUACACCAUUUGGAGAAGCUUUGGUUCCUUUUGAGCCAUUGGAUUCAUCUGAAAGCAACAAAAAGAGGGUAAGAACAAUUGUAAUCAUCAUCCUGAGCAAUACUUUUGAACAUGCAUUACGCUAGCAAGAACUCGGUAGGUGAAACGAGAGGUGACUGCAGUAAUCAAUAUUCAGUAAACAUUGAACUUGCUUGUUUUUACCAUUUUUCACUUCUCCUGCAUCAACAGGGAUGACUAAUUGCUUUUCAAAAUCUUCAACACCGUUUGACGAGACUUCUUCCCCAGCAGAACUUGGCUGUAGCCUUGUGUCGUUUAUGCCUUUUUGAAGAUCCACCUCCCGGAUAUUAACCCGUGUUUCAACGUCAAUCACCGGUUCACCAGAGUAUUCAAUAUCUACCUCGAACGCCCACACACCACUCAUCUCCAUUGGAAGAACCCGAGUACCAUGUAUAUGAGGUGGGAGAUUACCAAGGUCAACAUCGGAGCAGAUUAGUUCUCCUAUGUAACUCGGAGUCCUCAUGUUGGAUAACAUCCUCUGUUUAAAAACCACAAAGACGUAAGGAAAUCAAUUCAUCUCAAAUUUUUGAGUUCAUGAAAGCAUGCAGACCUGGAUUCGCGCUUGCAUUGAGUCCUUCACUCCUGUUUUCCGUAUGAGAUCGAAGAAAAGCCUGGAGAUUAGCAAGUUCCACGCCAAUGUUCCUUCAUCAAUGUCAAACUUCUCUUCAGAGUCUCCAUCCGAAACCCCGGAGAAAUGACUUGUAUGGCUCACGGAACGUGAAAAGACAGGCGCAUCAGCUUCAUCUCUGACAUCAUCUCCCACCCUCUUCCCUGGAACGCUGCUUCCAUUUUGUGAAUCUUGGUAAGAGCGCACAGAGGUUCUCCUCUCUUCACGAUUUGAUCGCUUUCUUGAAAACCUCCUCAAGAACAAACGAACUUUGGAGGAAGAGCCGUCCGUUCUGUUCCCUCUGUCAAUCGUCUCAAAACUAAACCCAAGAGACGGUUUCAUAAACGAAGGAUACGCAGCGUUGAGAGACGUGACGUAACUACGGAAGUCUUGUUGUAACUUGGUGGAGUACCAAAUAAACCUUUCCGGAUUCUCGCAAGAAGCAAGACGAAGAGCUUUACACCAUGAUUCCUUUUCACAAGAAGUCUCGAGAUAGAUGUAAAACACCUUGUUUCCUUUGUAUACGUCUGAGGAACUCUUGGUUUCGACUUUUAUAGGAAACCUUUUGGCCCUGACAAAAGAACAAUCAAGCUUCAAUAUAUUCCACCAAAGCUUCACAAUUCAAAUUGAUGUAUUGUAUGGAUAAGAGUUGGUGGUACCAUUUUCUUGUAGGGAGAUCAGAGCCUGAAACAGCCUCCACAGAGCAGCAUUUUAAUGAAACAGUAGUGAGAGUGCCGUCAGACUCUGACAAGAUGAGUUUGUGGUCUUUGAUCCGAGCGAAUUUGCGAGUUGGAUGAAUCUCCAAGAAAGCUCUCUUCCUCUUCUGCUCUGCUGGUAACUUCUCCUUCCACAUGUUCUUGAGACCUUCAUCCAACUCCAAAACCCAGAUCGUUCCCUGGAAAAUAUUAAAAACUUUCAUUACAGCAAAACAAGACCGAACAGAAACUGUCUGGUUCUAAUGAUCCAAAAACUCAAAAUUCACGGUCUCAUCCGAAACAGUUGACUUGAACUCAACAACUCGCAAGUAACGCAACAUGCAAACAUUCGGAGAUUAGAACCUAGAGUUUAGAGGAUUAAUCGAGGAAUUAAAGAUCGAUCACCUGUUUGUUGGAUUCUCGAGGAUUGCUGAUCUCCUUGGUAGAUUGAUCGGAACCGGGUUUUGAAUCAACCCGGUUAUCUCUCUUCCGGUUCAAUCGGUUCAGAAGAUACAUCAAACCAGCAGCUUCAGCCCCCAAGACGGCGACAAUUCCCAGGAAGAACCCGGAGAGGAACACGAAACUCGUGAAGGAAAACAUAUCCUCCGGGGAAGCUGGAAAGGCUUCAAUGAGAUGAAGGUUUCUUGUGAGGGAAUCAAGAGGAGGAGAAGAUUCGUGGCGUCGGGGUUGUUCAUGUCAGUGUGCAAUAACAAGGACAAUGCCAAAAGAUAGGAAGAGGAGAAGAUACUGUGGGAUUAGUCAUCUCUCUCUCUCUCUCUCUCUCUGGAAACGUAAUUCUCAACUUCCAACCAAUACUAAUUUGACGAAUCAGAAACAUAUUUAAUCUCUUAAGUUAAUUAAUAAUAACUUCUUCUUUUUUUGUCAUCAAGUUAAUUAAUAAUAACUAGUUGAUAUACUAUACUUAAUAUUUAAAAAGUCACGACCAAGUGUUUUUAGAAUUAAAAUUUCAUAAGAAGUAGAUAAAUAUAUUUUAAACUUCAGGUGCAAAAAAAAAAAACUGUUUCAUUGGUCAAAAUAUAUAAAAUAAAACAUGUUUUAUCAAGUAAGAAACUAUGAUUAUAUAGUAGGCUUGAGAGUUCUUAACUCAACCCGAAGUACCGACCUUAACCCGAACCGGAAAAACCGAAACCGAAUCUGAAUCUAAACUUAGCCAUACUAUGCACCUCAUGCCCAACAGGAUUAUACAAGAUGGCAUUGUUGAAAGUAAGUCUAACAUCUUCAGCAAACUCCAACGGCGACUCAUACAAACCUUCCCCUAACUUAGCCUUCACUGUACCCAAAUCCAUAGGCUCUUUAACAAUGGUGUGGUAAUCAUGCAAACCAAACCCUUUGGCAUCAACGGGCACAUUGAACACCCAUCCAUCCUUAUGCUUCAUCAACUUCGUCAGCAAAUUGAGACAUUUCUUGAAAAUCUGAACCGUACCUUUAUCACCUCUCUUAACUCCAUUCCCAGUUUUCAGCUUCUUGUUUCCCCCUUUACCCAUGGACCCGGUUGUAAAGUUUCCGCCUUGGGGAUCGAACUGUGCGAUCAAGCUCCGAACUUCGUCUAGCUCAGCUGUUAGUCUCCGCUUCAAGCUCCUGACUUCAAGCUUCGAAAUUGAGCUCAAGCUAACCUUCAACAUGGGAGGAUGAUCUUCCUCCUCCGACGCGAACGGGUUUGACGGAGAGAGGAGAGCAGCCGAUCGCGCGUGUUGAGGAACCACCAUCGGCUUGGUCCGCCUGUGCUUCGUCGUCUUCGAAGCUCCACCUCCUGAAGACAUUUCUAGGUUUAGCUCGGAGGACCGUGAUUGAGGGGAUUCAAGGUCGAUGAAAUCGAAAUCGAAAUCGAAAGAGAAGGUUUGAAUCUACAUGAAGAUCGGUUCUCGAUUUUGCAAUUUACGAAAACCCUAGGGAAGCAAGCAAAUACUGUGGCAACAAUAGCUCACGCGCUUGAAACUCACGCGCCAUUACCAAUUUUUUACUACUAUAUAAUAAAUCCUUUGUUUUCUGAAUGAUACUUACUUGCAAUCAACAAUUGAUAGUUUGAUAAUAAUACCUUUCCAACACUAGCAGUUUAUACACUGUAGUGUUCAAGUACGAUGGAGUAUAUAUAGCUCCAGCGAGGAUAAGAUCCAACUUGUUCACGGUGGUAACUAUUUUAUUUGAACAUACAAUCAUGUAGGCUGUUCUUUAAUUGGCCUCAAAACUCAAUAAUUAAUCAUCUAAUAGGUCUCUAAAGCAAGUUUUUAAUCAGAUACAUACAGUUUAAUCUAUCUUCUUCUUCUGUUUUUUACUAAAAGAUUGUAUUACAUCAUGGUUUGUGAUGUAUCAUGUGAUUGAGAGUACUUUCUGUGAGUCUGUCUCACAUGAAAUGACAAAAUAGGUGACGAGGAAAGCCGAAACCGGAUCGAUAUUUUAGAGAACUGUAACUCGAUCCACUUGUCACACAUGCAUAGAAAUGUAGUCACAACCUGGAUAGUUAUACAAACACAUGUACACUAGGAACUGUACAGAUUGAGAGAGGAUCAGGUAAGAUCGAGGAAUGGAUAGACACGAACAGGAUCCACGUGCUCAGCUUUAGACACUCUUUAUAUCAACAUCUGUCUCCAAAUUACUUAUAACCACUUUUGCUUCUUUUAAGCCCUCGCUCUCUUAUGUUACUCUUCCCUUUCCUCUUCUUUAUCAAAGAUAUUGGUUUGAAUCUUUCAUUUAAAUAAAGAGUUCUUAAAUGGCAACAUAUGCUAGAAGAACAUACGGAUUUGGGAGAGCUGAUGAGGCGACGCACCCGGACUCCAUUAGAGCCACUUUGGCCGAGUUUCUCUCCACUUUCGUCUUUGUCUUUGCUGGAGAAGGCUCCAUCCUCUCUCUAGGUUCGUAGUUCUUUUAGCUAUAUAUGCGUAGGAGUUAUCCAAUAACUUUUAGCCAAUUAGUAUUGCCAUCUUUUCUUACAAAAAUAUUAAUCACAACGUCAGAUAUUUAUUUAUAUCAAACAUUUUUAGAUUUAUCAAGAUUUUUUUUAUUAUUAUUUAUCAAGAUUUUUGUUCUAACAAAGACGGUAGAAAGAAGAAAACAUUUAUCUUAUUCGGUAAUUAAUAUAUUGGUACGAGCAGACAAGUUGUAUUGGGACACUGAGGCUCACACGGGGACAGACACGCCGGGAGGGUUACUUUUGGUGGCGUUAGCUCAUGCAUUGGCACUAUUUGCGGCAGUUUCGGCGGCCAUCAAUGUCUCUGGUGGUCACGUGAACCCUGCGGUUACUUUUGCUGCUCUAAUCGGUGGCAGGCUCUCAGUGAUCCG
rnacentral:lncRNA from 1 species